CCUACGGGCGGCAGCAGUGAGGAAUAUUGGUCAAUGGUCGCGAGUCUGAACCAGCCAAGCCGCGUGAGGGAAGACGGUCCUGUGAGUUGUAAACUGCUUUUGUACGGGGGUAAAGGCAGGUACGCGUACCCGUCUGCGAGUAUCUUACGAAUAAGGAUCGGCUAACUCCGUGCCAGCAGCCGCGGUAAUACGGAGGAUUCAAGCGUUAUCCGGAUUUAUUGGGUUUAAAGGGUGCGUAGGCGGUCGGAUAAGUUAGCGGGGAAAGCCCGGGGCUCAACCCCGGACGUGCCGCUGAUACUGUUAGGCUAGAGUGUAGGUGCGGUAGGCGGAAUGCAUGGUGUAGCGGUGAAAUGCAUAGAGAUCACACAGAACACCGAUUGCGAAGGCAGCAUACCAAGCUAACACUGACGCUGAGGCACGAAAGCGUGGGGAUCAAACAGGAUUAGAUACCCGGGUAGUC
rnacentral:rRNA from 1 species